CAUAUUUAUAGACCGCCGUCAUACAGCUGGCAUACUGCAGGGCGCACAGCACACCCGGCCUCACCUCGGAUACACAGACGUUGAAACAACACAAAUAUGGUUGAUCGUGUCAUAGUUCUUAAUUUCCUUAGUCAUAUUCAGUAAUCUCCCUGUGAGACAAGCAUUGACUGAGUGCGUUAUCCUAUCGUUAAAUGUGAGAAACGUGUGCUUGACUUCCCCGGUUGCGUGCGAGUCGCGCGGUUUGCCACGACUAUCACCGUCUUAUCAACCCGAAUAUCUAGGUCUCUAUUAUCAGGGUGGUUGGCAACACGUCGCCCGGGUCAGGAAAUCCACGAAAGGGCCUGAAUGAAACUCGUCCACCUGAAGCGAAAGUGGUGCCUUUAUGAUGACACUGUAAGCCUCAGGUUUGAUUGGUCAGUUGUCGGACACGUGACUUGUGACAUGUAAGCAGACUGGUCAAUCGCGCCCACCGGCCAAGGUAGGUCACCGGGACCCGAGUUCAUGCCUGUCCCCAGCGGGACCCGAGGUCAUGCACUGCCGCAGUUAACCGAAACGUUCACUGGACAAUCGUGUUUAAAGGUUAUUGUUUGAUCGGCUUUCUAGAAGUUUGUGAGUCAAUAUUAAAGCAUACGACUCAUGGAUGACACUCAUGUUUAUUUCAUAGAGCCACGUUUCGGUGCAGAUUCUUAGACCGU